AACUUCCCCUGCCCACCCAGACGGGACCCCGAGCCCCACGCAGCGGGAGAGACGACUAAGCCCUCCCACCGCGCCCGUUCCGCGGGCUGGUCCUUACCUCCGAACAGGUGCGGCGAGAGGGUAGAGUGUGAGGCCAUGAAACCCUUCUGCACCCAGAGAGGCAACUGCCUCAUAGAGAGCCUUAUCUGAACAAGUCGUGCCAAGUCUUGACACAGUGAAUAUUAUACAGGUAGAUGCUUCCUCUGACUGAAGAAGGAAUUGUUUAUGUGCAGCACAGUGGCAAGAGCUGUGCAAAUGCUAAAAUGUGCUUAUAAAUAAUUCCUGCUGAUGGAAGAAAACCCGUGGCAUAAGAGAAGCAAGUUACUCCAUCUCUCUCCGACAUGCUAUGGAGGUCUCUCAAACAGGCUUGGAGGAUUUCUGGUCUGGUUUUGCUCCCUGUACAAAAGAAGCAUUUACUUUGCUCCCAAUGCUGUAACCUUGCAGGUGAAGUUGAGCUGGAUGCAUGCCUUCUGGACUGGGAUAUGUGUCUGCCUUAUGGCACUGUAGCCACCCUCUAGGCAAAUUUUUCCUCUUGGCCAUCCUUCCAGAUACCAUCUUUGUGCCCUUUUUGCCCCAAGGUGCAAGGAGAUUACUAGUGGAAAAUCAGCAGACAGGGGAAUUUCAUUGGUGAAACCAGCAGCCUGCUUAUCAUUGUUACUUUUUUACUCACAUGCCUGAAUCCUCUUGUAGUGGUUUCUAUGCCA